rnacentral:pre_miRNA from 1 species
UAGAAGAUUUGAACACUUCAACUUGUAUACUUGGAGGAUUUGAAGAAAUCAACUUACAUACUUGGAGGAUUUGAAUAAUUCUAUU